rnacentral:rRNA from 1 species
UACAGGAUUCCCCUAGUAGCGGCGAGCGAAGCGGGAAGAGCUCAAAUUUAUAAUCUGGCACCUUCGGUGUCCGAGUUGUAAUCUCUAGAAAUGUUUUCCGCGUUGGACCGCACACAAGUCUGUUGGAAUACAGCGGCAUAGUGGUGAGACCCCCGUAUAUGGUGCGGACGCCCAGCGCUUUGUGAUACAUUUUCGAAGAGUCGAGUUGUUUGGGAAUGCAGCUCAAAUUGGGUGGUAAAUUCCAUCUAAAGCUAAAUAUUGGCGAGAGACCGAUAGCGAACAAGUACCGUGAGGGAAAGAUGAAAAGCACUUUGGAAAGAGAGUUAACAGUACGUGAAAUUGUUGGAAGGGAAACGCUUGAAGUCAGACUUGCUUGCCGAGCAAUCGGUUUGCAGGCCAGCAUCAGUUUUCCGGGAUGGAUAAUGGUAGAGAGAAGGUAGCAGUUUCGGCUGUGUUAUAGCUCUCUGCUGGAUACAUCUUGGGGGACUGAGGAACGCAGUGUGCCUUUGGCGGGGGUUUCGACCUCUUCACACUUAGGAUGCUGGUGGAAUGGCUUUAAACGACCCGUCUUGAAAACACGGAACCAA